rnacentral:rRNA from 1 species
AGUCGAGGGGUAUAGGUUUUCGGACCUAGAGACCGGCGCACGGGUGCGUAACGCGUAUGCAAUCUACCUUUUACAGAGGGAUAGCCCAGAGAAAUUUGGAUUAAUACCUCAUAGUAUUACGACUCGGCAUUGAGAUGUAAUUAAAGUCACAACGGUAAAAGAUGAGCAUGCGUCCCAUUAGCUAGUUGGUAAGGUAACGGCUUACCAAGGCAACGAUGGGUAGGGGUCCUGAGAGGGAGAUCCCCCACACUGGUACUGAGACACGGACCAGACUCCUACGGGAGGCAGCAGUGAGGAAUAUUGGUCAAUGGGCGCAAGCCUGAACCAGCCAUGCCGCGUGCAGGAUGAAGCAUCUAUGGUGUGUAAACUGCUUUUGUACGAGAAGAAACACUCCUACGUGUAGGAGCUUGACGGUAUCGUAAGAAUAAGGACCGGCUAACUCCGUGCCAGCAGCCGCGGUAAUACGGAGGGUCCAAGCGUUAUCCGGAAUCAUUGGGUUUAAAGGGUCCGUAGGCGGUUUUGUAAGUCAGUGGUGAAAGCCCAUCGCUCAACGGUGGAACGGCCAUUGAUACUGCAAGACUUGAAUUAUUGGGAAGUAACUAGAAUAUGUAGUGUAGCGGUGAAAUGCUUAGAGAUUACAUGGAAUACCAAUUGCGAAGGCAGGUUACUACCAAUAUAUUGACGCUGAUGGACGAAAGCGUGGGGAGCGAACAGGAUUAGAUACCCUGGUAGUCCACGCCGUANACGAUGGAUACUAGCUGUUCGGAGCAAUCUGAGUGGCUAAGCGAAAGUGAUAAGUAUCCCACCUGGGGAGUACGUUCGCAAGAAUGAAACUCAAGGGAAUUGACGGGGGCCCGCACAAGCGGUGGAGCAU